rnacentral:rRNA from 1 species
GACGGACGCUGGCGGCGUGCUUAACACAUGCAAGUCGAACGGAAAGGCCCUGCUUUUGUGGGGUGCUCGAGUGGCGAACGGGUGAGUAACACGUGAGUAACCUGCCCUUGACUUUGGGAUAACUUCAGGAAACUGGGGCUAAUACCGGAUAGGAGCUCCUGCUGCAUGGUGGGGGUUGGAAAGUUUCGGCGGUUGGGGAUGGACUCGCGGCUUAUCAGCUUGUUGGUGGGGUAGUGGCUUACCAAGGCUUUGACGGGUAGCCGGCCUGAGAGGGUGACCGGCCACAUUGGGACUGAGAUACGGCCCAGACUCCUACGGGAGGCAGCAGUGGGGAAUAUUGCACAAUGGGCGGAAGCCUGAUGCAGCAACGCUGCGUGCGGGAUGACGGCCUUCGGGUUGUAAACCGCUUUCGCCUGUGACGAAGCGUGAGUGACGGUAAUGGGUAAAGAAGCACCGGCUAACUACGUG